UUAUUCGCUCUCUCUUUUGUUUUGAUUGCUAGAAUGAUUGCUAGUAUGAGUGCUUAUGUGAAUGAUAUGUUUGUUAUAUAGAUUUCAUCGGAGAGUGACGAGUAGUCUAUCAAGUUAUUUCUCGAGAAAUUCUUCUUCGUCAACAUCACCAGACAAGUCACUUUGAUCGUACUAUCACCUAUGUUUUAUGCAUCGUAGUUCUACCAUCCUAUGCCCAAUUGCAUGUUGCUUAGGUACUUGGAUAUUUUAGUACAGGUUGUAGUAUCAUGUGGUAGGCACACAACAACCCCGAUACUUGGCCCCGGGACGACAAAUUUCAUAU
rnacentral:lncRNA from 1 species